rnacentral:rRNA from 1 species
UUCUACUGCCAUACCACUCUGAACAUGCCCGAUAUAGUCUGAUCUUGGAAGCUCAUCAGGGUCAGGCCUGGUUAAUACUUGCAUGGAAGAAAGGACAAAAGCAAGAGAGAGCUGGAAAGAGUAGCAC